GCAGUUGAGCGCUGAGGUUGGUACUUGUACCAACUGGAUGAGCAGCGAACGGGUGAGUAACGCGUGGGGAAUCUGCCUUUGAGCGGGGGACAACAUUUGGAAACGAAUGCUAAUACCGCAUAAAAACUUUAAACACAAGUUUUAAGUUUGAAAGAUGCAAUUGCAUCACUCAAAGAUGAUCCCGCGUUGUAUUAGCUAGUUGGUGAGGUAAAGGCUCACCAAGGCGAUGAUACAUAGCCGACCUGAGAGGGUGAUCGGCCACAUUGGG
rnacentral:rRNA from 1 species